UACGUAGGGUGCGAGCGUUAAUCGGAAUUACUGGGCGUAAAGCGUGCGCAGGUGGUUCGCUAAGACAGAUGUGAAAGCCCCGGGCUCAACCUGGGAACUGCGUUUGUGACUGGCGGGCUAGAGUGCGGAAGAGGGAGGUGGAAUUCCACGUGUAGCAGUGAAAUGCGUAGAGAUGUGGAGGAACACCGAUGGCGAAGGCAGCCUCCUGGUCUAGCACUGACGCUCAUGCACGAAAGCGUGGGGAGCAAACAGG
rnacentral:rRNA from 1 species